AUGGCUCAGGAUGAACGCUAGCUACAGGCUUAACACAUGCAAGUCAGGGGCAGCAUGGAGUUGCUGCAAACUCUGAUGGCGACCGGCGCACGGGUGAGUAACGCGUAUCCAACCUUCCCUAUAGUAGAGGAUAGCCCGGCGAAAGUCGGAUUAAUACUCUAUGUUUUCCGUUAGCAGACAUCUAAGAUGGAACAAAGGCUUGCCGCUAUAGGAUGGGGAUGCGUCUGAUUAGAUAGUAGGCGGGGUAACGGCCCACCUAGUCGACGAUCAGUAGGGGUUCUGAGAGGAAGGUCCCCCCACAUUGGAACUGAGACACGGUCCAAACUCCUACGGGAGGCAGCAGUGAGGAAUAUUGGUCAAUGGGCGAGAGCCUGAACCAGCCAAGUAGCGUGCAGGAUGACGGCCCUAUGGGUUGUAAACUGCUUUUAGUAUGGGGAUAAAGUCACCCACGUGUGGGUGUUUGUAGGUACCAUAUGAAUAAGGACCGGCUAAUUCCGUGCCAGCCGCGGC
rnacentral:rRNA from 1 species